rnacentral:rRNA from 1 species
CCCUUAGAUGUUCUGGGCCGCACGCGCGCUACACUGACUACUUCAACGAGUUGUUUCCUUGAUCGAAAGGUCUGGGUAAUCUUUGAAAGGUAGUCGUGAUGGGGAUAGAUCCUUGCAAUUUUUGAUCUUCAACGAGGAAUUCCUAGUAAACGCAAGUCAUCAGCUUGCAUUGAUUACGUCCCUGCCCUUUGUACACACCGCCCGUCGCACCUACCGAUUGAAUGAUCCGGUGAAUCUUUAGGACUGUGGCUGAGGCCUUGCCUUGUGCGGGUCUGGCCGUGGGAAUUUAGUUAAACCUUACCAUUUAGAGGAAGGUGAAGUCGUAACA